GACGAACGCUGGCGGCGUGCUUAACACAUGCAAGUCGAACGGAAAGGCCCUGCUUUUGUGGGGUGCUCGAGUGGCGAACGGGUGAGUAACACGUGAGUAACCUGCCCUUGACUUUGGGAUAACUUCAGGCAACUGGGGCUAAUACCGGAUAGGAGCUCCUGCUGCAUGGUGGGGGUUGGAAAGUUUCGGCGGUUGGGGAUGGACUCGCGGCUUAUCAGCUUGUUGGUGGGGUAGUGGCUUACCAAGGCUUUGACGGGUAGCCGGCCUGAGAGGGUGACCGGCCACAUUGGGACUGAGAUACGGCCCAGACUCCUACGGGAGGCAGCAGUGGGGAAUAUUGCACAAUGGGCGGAAGCCUGAUGCAGCAACGCCGCGUGCGGGAUGACGGCCUUCGGGUUGGAAACCGCUUUCGCCUGUGACGAAGCGUGAGUGACGGUAAUGGGUAAAGAAGCACCGGCUAACUACGUG
rnacentral:rRNA from 1 species